UACGUAGGGGGCUAGCGUUGUCCGGAAUCAUUGGGCGUAAAGAGCGUGUAGGCGGCCCGGUAAGUCCGCUGUAAAAGUCAAAGGCUCAACCUUUGAAUGUCAGUGGAUACUGCCGGGCUAGAGUCCGGAAGAGGCGAGUGGAACUCCUGGUGUAGCGGUGGAAUGCGCAGAUAUCAGGAGGAACACCAAUAGCGAAGGCAGCUUGCUGGGACGGUACUGACGCUAAGGCGCGAAAGCGUGGGGAGCGAACAGG
rnacentral:rRNA from 1 species